rnacentral:rRNA from 1 species
CGGGAGGGAAAGGCGAAAAGAACCCCGGCGAGGGGAGUGAAAAAGAACCUGAAACCGUGUACGUACAAGCAGUGGGAGCCCCACCACUAAGCCAGUGGUGAACUCCACAUACGCAUCCUUUGCUGAGGAUACGGUUAACGGAGCGAAAGCGACGUUCAACCUCAAAAGAAGCAGAGGGGGCUUAGUGGUGGGGUGACUGCGUACCUUUUGUAUAAUGGGUCAGCGACUUAUAUUCUGUAGCAAGGUUAACCGAAUAGGGGAGCCGGAGGGAAACCGAGUCUUAAUUGGGCGUUAAGUUGCAGGGUAUAGACCCGAAACCCGGUGAUCUAGCCAUGGGCAGGUUGAAGGUUGGGUAACACUAACUGGAGGACCGAACCGACUAAUGUUGAAAAAUUAGCGGAUGACCUGUGGCUGGGGGUGAAAGGCCAAUCAAACCGGGAGAUAGCUGGUUCUCCCCGAAAGCUAUUUAGGUAGCGCCUCGUGAAUUCAUCUCCGGGGGUAGAGCACUGUUUCGGCUAGGGGGCCAUCCCGGCUUACCAACCCGAUGCAAACUGCGAAUACCGGAGAAUGUUAUCACGGGAGACACACGGCGGGUGCUAACGUCCGUCGUGAAGAGGGAAACAACCCAGACCGCCAGCUAAGGUCCCAAAGUCAUGGUUAAGUGGGAAACGAUGUGGGAAGGCCCAGACAGCCAGGAUGUUGGCUUAGAAGCAGCCAUCAUUUAAAGAAAGCGUAAUAGCUCACUGGUCGAGUCGGCCUGCGCGGAAGAUGUAACGGGGCUAAACCAUGCACCGAAGCUGCGGCAGCGACCGUAUCACUUAAAGCGAUUCAGCGGAUGACGAUUGACGGAGCGAAGCGACGUCAAAGCGUA